GCGGGAGGCAGCAGUGGGGAAUAUUGGACAGUGGGGGAAACCCUGAUCCAGCGACGCCGCGUGAGUGAAGAAGUAUUUCGGUAUGUAAAGCUCUAUCAGCAAGGAAGGAAAUGACGGUACUUGACUAAGAAGCCCCGGCUAACUACGUGCCAGCAGCCGCGGUAAUACGUAGGGGGCUAGCGUUAUCCGGAUUUACUGGGUGUAAAGGGAGCGUAGACGGCAAAGCAAGUCUGAAGUGAAAUCCCGGGGCUCAACCCUGGAACUGCUUUGGAAACUGUUUAGCUAGAGUGCAGGAGAGGUAAGUGGAAUUCCUAGUGUAGCGGUGAAAUGCGUAGAUAUUAGGAGGAACACCAGUGGCGACGGCGGCUUACUGGACUGUAACUGACGUUGAGGCUCGAAAGCGUGGGGAGCAAACAGGAUUAGAUACCCUGGUA
rnacentral:rRNA from 1 species